rnacentral:rRNA from 1 species
UCAGGGGGUGGGAUGAGCCUGCGGAGUUGUGCUCUCCCUAGCCUGUUGGGAGAGCAGCGAACGGCUCCGUAACACGUAGUUAAUCUGCCCUUAGGACAGUUAUAACCCUGGGAAACUGGGGCUAAUGUUUGAUAGAUGAAAACGCCUGGAAUGGUCUUUCGUCUAAAAGUUUUUGGAAACAUGCUUCUGAAAAUGCCUAAGGAUGAGACUGCGGCCGAUCAGGCUGUUGGUGAGGUAACGGCUCACCAAACCUAUUACCGGUACGGGCUCUGAAAGGAGUAGCCCGGAGAUGGGAACUGAGACAAGGUCCCAGGCCCUACGGGACGCAGCAGGCGCGAAAACUCCACAAUGCGCGAAAGCGUGAUGGGGUUACCCCGAGUGCCAUCCGUUGAGGAUAGCUUUUCACUAGUGUAAGGAGCUAGUGGAAUAAAGGGGGGCAAGUCUGGUGUCAGCCGCCGCGGUAAUACCAGCCCCCUGAGUGAUAGGGACGAUUAUUUAGCCUAAAGCGUCCGUAGCCGGCUUUGUAAGUCUUUCGCUAAAUCUGACGACUUAAUCGCCAGACCGCGGAAGAUACUGCUAAGCUAGAGGAUGGGAGAGGUUGACGGUAGUCCUGGGGUAGGGGUGAAAUCCUAUAAUCCCAGGAGGACCACCAGUGGCGAAGGCGGUCAACCAGAACAUGCCUGACGGUGAGGGACGAAAGCUGGGGGAGCGAACCGGAUUAGACACCCGGGUAGUCCCAGCUGUAAACGAUGCGGGCUAGGUGUUGGUGCAGCUACGUGCUGUUCCAGUGCCGCAGAGAAGUUGUUAAGCCCGCCGCUUGGAAGUACGGCCGCAAGGCUGAAGCUUAAAG